GAUGAACGCUAGCGGGAGGCUUAACACAUGCAAGUCGAGGGGUAUUGUAGCAAUACAUUAGACCGGCGCACGGGUGAGUAACGCGUAUGCAACCUGCCGUUAACCGGGGGAUAGCCCGCCGAAAGGCGGAUUAAUACCCCAUAAUAUUGGGAUUCUGCAUGGGAUUUCAAUUAAAGCUGAGGUGGUUAACGAUGGGCAUGCGUGACAUUAGCCAGUUGGUAGGGUAGCGGCCUACGAAGGGUACGAUGUCUAGGGGUUCUGAGAGGAAGGUCCCCCACACGGGUACGGAGACACGGACCAGACUCCUACGGGAGGCAGGAGUGAGGAAUUUGGGUCAAUGGGCGAGAGCCUGAACCGGCCAUCCCGCGUGCAGGAAGACGGCCCUAUGGGUUGUAAACUGCUUUUGCGCAUGAAGAAUGUUACGGACGUGUCGGUAAGUGACGGUAAUGCGUGAAUAAGCAUCGGCUAACUCCGUGCCAGCAGCCGCCGUAAGAC
rnacentral:rRNA from 1 species